UUGUGGCGGUUCCUGUGGUCCAAUUUUGGUACUUUCGGGAGCUGCCAUCUUUGGGUGGAUCCUGUGUGGCAUUAGGUUGUCGCGCAGGGGAUGCCCAUCUUUUACUGUGAAAAAAUUAGAGUGUUCAAAGCAGGCUUACGCCGUUGAAUAUAUUAGCAUGGAAUAAUAAGAUAAGCUUUUCGAGCUAUUUUGUUGGUUUGCGCCCGAGAAGAAUGAUUAAUAGGGACAGUUGUGGGUAUUCGUAUUCCAUUGUCAGAGGUGAAAUUCUUGGAUUUCUGGAAGACGAACUAAUGCGAAAGCAUUUACCAAGGAUGUUUUC
rnacentral:rRNA from 1 species